GAGCUACCCUGGCAUUUACCUCAUAGGGACCUUGAUGCCUUCAUUCUCAACAAACAUGGGUCGAGCCCCUACUACAUGCCAUGCAUUCUUUUUGGCUCCGAAGUCUUAGCAGUGACAAAACCAGACCAAAUCUCUCCUCCCCUUCAGGAUCGCACAGUCUAGCAGGAGGAGACACAGGCCACAAUUAUUAACGAUGUUAAUGAUUAAGGAGGGCGUCAGAUGUGGCUGAGUAUUAUGGAAUAACAUAACACUGGCAGGGGGGCUAGAAAGUGCCAGGUGUGGGUUGCUUUAUUAUUUGGAUGGUCGGGGGAAGGCCUUUCUGAGAAGCAGAAAGCUAAAAGGGGUGAAUGAGCUAUCUAUCUGGAUAUGGCAAGAGCAUUCCAGGUAGAAGUAAGAGCGGGUGCAAAGGCCCUGAGGCAGCAUGUUCAAGGAAAGAGGUAAGGGUGACUGGUGCAGUGUAAGGGAGUGAAGAAGAGGUGAGGCCAGAGGUUAGGGGAUAUUAGAUCACAUAGGGACUUGUGGAGGGAGUUUGGCUUCUACUCAGAGUGGGACAGGAGCACAGGAGGGUUCUAAGCAAAGGAGCUGCUGGGAGCAUCAAAUGAGGAAGCAAGAAUGCAAAUUUUCCGGGCUUGAUGGAGCUUUUACAAUAUCUCCAACUUCUCUCAUUCAGCGUGAGCCAUGCAGAAGAACCCGGGCUGCUUUAGGCCACAGGAAGCAACCAAGGUGACAGAGUGUCCCUGUGCCACCUCCUGGCUUCUUCCUGCUGGAUGACGAGAGGUCACACGAAGCAGAGAGGGACCGUCCUAGCAGCCUGGACCAGCCCCCGCUGGGUGCACCAGUCCAGAUCAGCCCAGCCCUGCCUGGACCAGAAGCCUCACCUAGCCGAGCCACAGACUCGUGAGCAGUA